rnacentral:lncRNA from 10 species
GAGGCAGUGUUUGGGCAAAUAUUGGACUUGGCCACACUUGCUGUUCGUAUCAGGAACCCAAUUGGUGUUAUUGAUUGACAGAUUCGGGGACCAACUGUUUAGAAAGCUGAGCCCCCUCGGAUUGGGCUAGGUGUUUCAACAAACAGCCCUAAUGCUGGGCAAACAGGGCUGUUGGAAGAAGUGCCCAGCGUGUUAGCAGAGCAAACCAAGCACUGAGCAAACAGCUUAAAAGAAUGUGGCCACCUCCACGUAACCUCAACCGAGGUAUUGAUCCCACCGGAGGAAAGAGAGGGGCCGAGUGGGGAACAGAGAGAUACAAACCCCGGCAGAAUGUAAAUGUUAUCUUUAAGCUGCGGCUGUCACGGCCCUAAUGGGCAUCUGUUUGGAAUUUGUCUUCUUGCAAAUCUUUAAAUCCAGGUCAGGGCCAGGCACAGAAUUUAAUAACAACUUUUCAGAGAGAUCGGGGCUUGGGACUGAUUUCAUUCCCCAUAAGCCCAACUGGGACUCUUCUGUUCUUCUUAAAGGCAGCUGCCUUGCAUGGAAACUUGCUGGGUGCAAGUCCCAAGCUAGAAAGAGAUAAAUCUUCUGAACACUGGUCAUAAGGCUACAGGAGAGAAGAAGGAAAUUCAGAAAUAAAGGUGCUUUCUCUGACCCCUGAGCUGUCCAUACAAGAGAGCUGGUGGAGUGGAAAGAAUCCUGGACUCAGAAUCAAGAAAUCUGGGUCCUGCUGCAGCUGCUGGCUCUGACUGGCUGCCCCUUCUGUCUUCACCUCCCUGACCUUCAACCUCUGUAUCUAUGAACUGAGGGAUGCAGUCCCUGCUGGGCAUAUUCAGGGUCAGGCCAGACAAGCCCAUUCCAAGGUGGGAGCACACUCUGCAGACAGAAAACACUGUCCCAGUUUAAGGAAUCGGGAUAUUUGCUGAGAGACCCUGGGAGAUGCCCCUCCUGAGCCUGAGACCUUCUGACAUCACCAAGUCGCAAUGGAAUGGACCAUGGCUGUGGUUAUCUAUUUUUCUAGCAUCGGUAAUGAGCCCUGUGGUCGCAAGAGCCCAGAAGCACCCCUUUCUGAGGUGGAUAUCCAGUGUCCCCAGUGCCAUUUGUUGAAAAGACUGUUCUUCCCCUAUGGAAUGGUUUUGGAACCCUUGCCAAAAAUCAUUUGACUGUAUAUGUGAAGGUUUGUUUCUGGGCUCACCCUUCUAUUCCAAUAGUCUAUAUGUUUGUCUUUUCGCCAGUGCCACACUGACUUAGUUACUAUAGCUUUGUAUUAAGUUUUUA